rnacentral:rRNA from 1 species
UAAGCGGAGGAAAAGAAACCAACAGGGAUUGCCCCAGUAACGGCGAGUGAAGCGGCAACAGCUCAAAUUUGAAAUCUGGCCCCCCGGGGCCCGAGUUGUAAUUUGCAGAGGAUGCUUUUGGCGAGGCGCCUUCCGAGUUCCCUGGAACGGGACGCCACAGAGGGUGAGAGCCCCGUCUGGUUGGAUGCCGAGCCUCUGUAAAGCUCCUUCGACGAGUCGAGUAGUUUGGGAAUGCUGCUCUAAAUGGGAGGUAUAUGUCUUCUAAAGCUAAAUAUUGGCCAGAGACCGAUAGCGCACAAGUAGAGUGAUCGAAAGAUGAAAAGCACUUUGAAAAGAGGGUUAAAUAGUACGUGAAAUUGUUGAAAGGGAAGCGCUCAUGACCAGACUUGGGCCCGGUGAAUCAUCCAGCGUUCUCGCUGGUGCACUUUGCCGGGCUCAGGCCAGCAUCAGUUCGCCCCGGGGGAGAAAGGCUCUGGGAAUGUGGCUCCUCCGGGAGUGUUAUAGCCCUCUGCGCAAUGCCCUGGGGCGGACUGAGGUCCGCGCG